rnacentral:tRNA from 1 species
CGCGGCGUAGCUCAGUGGCAGAGCGCCGGGUUCAUACCCCGGAUGGCACAGGUUCGAUUCCUGCCGCCGCAACCA